rnacentral:rRNA from 1 species
GGUUAAGUUAGAAAGGGCGCACGGUGGAUGCCUUGGCACUAGGAGCCGAAGAAGGACGGGACUAACACCGAUAUGCUUUGGGGAGCUGUACGUAAGCGUUGAUCCAGAGAUUUCCGAAUGGGGGAACCCACUAUCUUUAGUCGGAUAGUAUCCUUACGUGAAUACAUAGCGUGAGGAAGGCAGACCCAGGGAACUGAAACAUCUAAGUACCUGGAGGAAGAGAAAGAAAAAUCGAUUUCCUGAGUAGCGGCGAGCGAAACGGAAAGAGCCCAAACCAAGAAGCUUGCUUCUUGGGGUUGUAGGACACUCUAUACGGAGUUACAAAAGAAAGUUAUAAAUGAAGCGGUCUGGAAAGGCCCGCCAAAGACGGUAACAGCCCGGUAGUUGAAAUGGCUUUCCCUCCAGAGUGGAUCCUGAGUACGGCGGAACACGUGAAAUUCCGUCGGAAUCCGGGAGGACCAUCUCCCAAGGCUAAAUACUCCCUAGUGACCGAUAGUGAACCAGUACCGUGAGGGAAAGGUGAAAAGCACCCCGGAAGGGGAGU